AUGGGCAAGAGGUCCAAACCGACGACUCGCAAGUGCGCCAAGUCAGCAUACUGGACUAGAGUUACCUUCAAGCCCGACCUCCCAAAAUUCAACAUGACCGAGCUCGAUGCUGACAUUGUGGCACUGAUGAAGAAGCGAGUACUUGAUAUGGCGGGCACACUUGGCAAAAAGGUCACUGUCGAAUUGAAUGGCGAGAAGGUGCCAGUGAGAAGCUUCUCUGAUUACGUGCAACUGUAUAUUGAUUCUGCUUCCAAAGAAGGAAUUGAGCUACCAAGACUAUAUAAGAAAGUUAACGACUGCUGGGAGGUGUGCGUCACUCUAAGUGAAGGCCAGUUCCAGCAGAUAACAUUAAAAUUCAGUUUUGUGAAUGGGGUUGCGACCAUACGAGGUGGAACUCACGUCAACCACGUCACAGACCAAAUUACCAGUCAUUUGAUGUGUGUUGUGAACAAGAAGAAGCACAGCCACAUUGGACCACAUACAGUAAAAGACCACCUAUGGAUAUUUGUUAAUGCGCUCAUUAACAACCCUGCAUUUGAUUCACUGACCAAAGAGGCAUUGACCUUUGGGCCCGAGUGCCACCUUCCCCAAGAGUUCCUCAAGACAGUGUCUAAAUUGGUCAUGGGGAGAAAUCUCCUCUCUUUCGCUGAGUCCGAACCAAACACCGAGGUACACAGGACUGACGGAAGCAGGGGGACAGGUCCUCUUCGCAUCCCUAAGCUGGAGGAUGCAAAUGAUGCUGGUGGGAGUGAAUCUGAACAGUGCACCUUGAUCCUUACUGAAGGAGAGUCAGCAAAGGCUCUAGCAGACUGUGAUGGGUACCACGAAAAAGGCUUGCUUAUCAAUUUUAUCCACUCUCAGUGGCCAUCUCUGCUAAAGGCUCCUUCCUUCUUGUCUGAGUUCAUCACUCCAAUGGUCAAGGCAACAAAUAUCAGGAGCGAAGCUGUCAAGUCAUUUUACUCAAUGCCAGACUACGAAACAUGGAAGAAGAACUUGGGAGGAAAUGCAAGUGCAUCGAGUGUCAAAUACUACAAGGGGCUGGGAACCAGCACAACUCAAGAAGGUCGGGAUUACUUUGAAGAUAUUGCGCAUCACAAGAUGGAUUUUUACUGGGCAGAUGAAAAAGAUGAUGAAGCUAUGAAUUGGCAUUCGACAAGGGCAAGACCGAUGAGCCCUGGAACUUGCCUUGACCGACAUCAGAAAAGCAUCACGUACAGUGAUUUUAUUCACAAAGAGCUGAUACUCUUUUCGAUGGCGGACAUUGAAUGGUCAAUACCUUCAAUCGUUGACGACUUUAAACAAGGACAGAGGAAGGUUAUGUUUUGCUCAUUCAAGAGGCAUUUGGUUAAAGAAAUAAAGGUGUCACAGUUUGUUGGUUUCGUGUCAGAACACUCAGCGUACCAGUAUGCAAUAAUAUUAGUCUCCUGGAGCCUCGUGGCCAGUUUGGCACCCGAAAUUCGGUUGGGCGGCAAGGAUGCUGCUACUCCUAAGUACAUCUGCACUAUGUUGCCGCGUAUCGCCCGCUUAAUUUUUCCAAAGGAUGAUGAUGUUCUUCUGAACUAUUUGCAUGAGGAGGGCGUGUCAAUUGAACCCAGCUGGUAA
rnacentral:rRNA from 1 species